rnacentral:tRNA from 1 species
GCCUGAGUGGCGAAAUAGGUAGACGCACAGGACUUAAAAUCCUGCGGGAGUCAAAUCCCGUGCCGGUUCAAGUCCGGCCUCAGGCACCA